UACGGAGGGUGCGAGCGUUGUCCGGAAUCACUGGGCGUAAAGGGCGCGUAGGCGGCCUUCUAAGUCGAACGUGAAAUCCCCGGGCUCAACCCGGGAACUGCGUCCGAUACUGGAAGGCUUGAAUCCGGGAGAGGGAUGCGGAAUUCCAGGUGUAGCGGUGAAAUGCGUAGAUAUCUGGAGGAACACCGGUGGCGAAGGCGGCAUCCUGGACCGGUAUUGACGCUGAGGCGCGAAAGCCAGGGGAGCAAACGGG
rnacentral:rRNA from 1 species